GGGUCACCGCGCACGGGCGUCGCUGGAUCCGGCGACUCCAAAUCUGACCGCCACCGGAUCUGGUGAGUAAUGAAGCCCAUCUCCCCUAAUCUCUCUCCAUCUGUACUUGACGAUUUCGAUUUUAUUUUGAAUGAUUUGGACAUCCCUUGCUCCUUCACCUGAUGGCCGGCCUACCCUGCUCCUUCAUUUUCAGAUGUUUGUAUGUUUGUGACAGAGAGCAUCGGUUAUUGUUGUGGAAUGUGUGUGAAAUACAUUGAAACAUGAUUUGAACGGCAUGAUUUAUGAAUCGUAGAAUCCAGCGAAAACAAUUUAUAAAAUUGAGAAGUUGAUGAGUGAAUCGAUUUUUUUUUGUUAUUUGGUUUUGUGAUCUUAAAUUCUACAGUACAAAACAGUGUGCACAUAUGUCAAAUUGAUAGUCUGCGUUCUUUGAAACGACACUGGAAUCGUGGUAUGUAAAUUGGAAUAACUGAAAUGACAUUGUUCAAAAUUAGAAUUGUUUAUUCAACUCUUUUGAAAUAGCAAAUUAGAAUUGGAAUAACUGAAAUGACAUUGUUCAAAAAUAUCACUGUGAUUUUUUUUUGAAAUAGCAAAUUAGAAUUGGAAUAACUGAAUUGGAAUAGCGAAUUGUUUAUUCAACUCUUUUGAAAUAGCAAGUUUCAGUCUUUUAUAGAAAAUAUCACUGUGAUUUUUUUUAAAGGAUUGAAUGUACUUUUUGAAGGAUAGAAACUCCGCCUUCUACAUCCCAAGCUACCGAUCCAAGAAUAAACCAUGGAGCGGAGGGUGUCAAUAGUAGUUGCAUCUAUGUUCAUGUUAGCACUCGUCUUCUGUCAUGGUAAGUAAAAACACAUAUUACGAAAGCUUUACUUCAAAUAUAUAUAUCGUGUCUUAAUGCGUUUCUCUGGAUACAGGUACGGAUGCUAAGUGUAAGCAACAAACCUACAAACUUCCUGUUCCUUGUAAUCAUGACAGUUGUGAUCCCUUUUGCACACAACAUAAGUACGAAUCUGGGACAUGUGGUUUUACUGGCGAUCCUGAUGAAAUUCUUUGCUACUGCAUUACCUGCGAUGAGAAGACUUUAGUUGAUCAAAUGGCACCGCGAAUCCAAGGGGACACAAAUGGCGCAUGAACAUGCAGUUCAUGAUGUAGUGAAAGAUUAGUGCUCUGAGUGUGAUUGUCGUAUUUAGUAUGAAAAUAUAUUGGUGGUGACUGAUAAAGGCAUUGGUAUUUAGUAUUUAGUAUUUAGUCCCUCUGUAAUCUAAACGCUCUUAUAUUUCUUCAGUAUUUAGUAUGAAACCCUAGCACUAGCAUCACACUCAUGUCGUCCUACGUUUGUCCCACUGUGACGCCCGGGUAAUUAAGCUACAGUGAACCUCUGCUAAUGAUGCCACGUGACCUUGGUUAUUGUGGCUAAUCUCGCGUUAGUUCGAAACCGAUUCAAAUUAAAUUCAAAAUCAAGCAAACAAUAAAAAAAUUCAAAUAUUAAAA
rnacentral:lncRNA from 1 species